CCUACGGGACGCAGCAGUGGGGAAUAUUGCGCAAUGGGGGGAACCCUGACGCAGCAACGCCGCGUGCAGGAAGAAGGUCUUCGGAUUGUAAACUGUUGUCGCAGGGGAAGAAGACAGUGACGGUACCCUGUGAGAAAGUCACGGCUAACUACGUGCCAGCAGCCGCGGUAAUACGUAGGUGGCAAGCGUUGUUCGGAAUAACUGGGCGUAAAGGAUGCGUAGGCGGUUAAACAAGUUAUAUGUUAAAUAUAUAGGCUUAACCUGUAGAAAGCAUAUAAAACUGUUUAACUAGAGUGCAGGAGAGG
rnacentral:rRNA from 1 species